rnacentral:lncRNA from 1 species
CCCAGGAGUGAAAUGGAGAACUGCAGACCGUCACAUUGGAGUCUGUACUGAGCAAGAUGGAACUGGCAAUUCUGUGGCUGAGGGAGAUGGAGGUCGGCAGCCAGUGUUGGAGCAGAAGCCACAUCCUCGAGUUGCAGCAGCGCAGUUUGAUGCUGUGGUUGUGCCAGGGCUGCUGGGAGAAGAGCUGGGCUGCCUGAGAACUGAAGUCCUCUCAAGCUGGUGGAAGAGCUACAGUGUCAGGGUCUGCAGUGAAAGCAGGGUCCAUGCCAAGCAGGACGGAGGACUCUAAGGGGUCACAGCAGAGAGCUGCAUCCAUGGGAGCAUCCUGGAGCAACUGGCCACAUGGUGCUGACAUCCGAGAAGAU